AGUGAAUGCUGGCGGUAGGCCUAACACAUGCAAGUCGAACGGCAGCACAGUAAGAGCUUGCUCUUACGGGUGGCGAGUGGCGGACGGGUGAGGAAUACAUCGGAAUCUACUUUUUCGUGGGGGAUAACGUAGGGAAACUUACGCUAAUACCGCAUACGACCUACGGGUGAAAGCAGGGGAUCUUCGGACCUUGCGCGAUUGAAUGAGCCGAUGUCGGAUUAGCUAGUUGGCGGGGUAAAGGCCCACCAAGGCGACGAUCCGUAGCUGGUCUGAGAGGAUGAUCAGCCACACUGGAACUGAGACACGGUCCAGACUCCUACGGGAGGCAGCAGUGGGGAAUAUUCGACAAUGGGCGCAAGCCUGAUCCAGCCAUACCGCGUGGGUGAAGAAGGCCUUCGGGUUGUAAAGCCCUUUUGUUGGGAAAGAAAAGCAGCAGGUUAAUACCCCGCUGUUCUGACGGUACCCAAAGAAUAAGCACCGGCUAACUUCGUG
rnacentral:rRNA from 1 species